rnacentral:antisense_RNA from 1 species
AGUCAUAAUGGCUAUUCUCUAUAAAUAGUGAUGGUGAUGAGCGAUGUGGGCGUGCAGUCACACGUUCAUAUCGCGAC